UACGUAGGGUGCGAGCGUUGUCCGGAAUUAUUGGGCGUAAAGAGCUCGUAGGUGGUUUGUCGCGUUGUUCGUGAAAACUCACAGCUCAACUGUGGGCGUGCGGGCGAUACGGGCAGACUAGAGUACUGCAGGGGAGACUGGAAUUCCUGGUGGAGCGGUGAAAUGCGCAGAUAUCAGGAGGAACACCCGUAGCGAAGGCGGCACUCUGGGCCGUAACUGACGCUGAGGAGCGAAAGCAUGGGGAGCGAACAGG
rnacentral:rRNA from 1 species